rnacentral:lncRNA from 1 species
GAGGAUAAGCAGUCGUUUGAGGGGGAGGAUAUGAGGUUGGUGGAUAUGCAACUGAAUGAGGCGGGUAUGCAGGGUAUGGAGGAGGUGUUUGAUAAGCCGCUGCUGGUGGAUAAGAAGCUAAAUGUGGUGGAGGCACGGAGUACAUAGGUGCUUGAGGUUGCGAUGCUGCAUAUGGUGGAGCUGAUGGAGCAUAACUUGUUGCUGGCUUCUGGGAAUUUAAAGAGCAAACAUGUCAAAAAUAUAUUAGAAAGAUGACUCUGGGUCUCUUGAGAGUUCCGCAGAUCACAGUACUACUUACAUUGGCAUUAGCAUAGUGCAUUAUCAGUCGAACUUCUCCAGCAUGCCUGCAAGUAAUGAGACUACAAUAAUUACAGCUCCAAGAGCCAAUACAAAAUGACCACCGAACAUCCACUCAAUUUGACGAGAUAGAUUUACAGAAUCUCAAAAUUGAAUUGAUUGCUUAUUUAGAUAGUUACAGAGUUCUAUAUGAAGGUUCCUUUUAAUCACAAUGGUGUGCUCGAGUUCCAUAUGACACACAGAUUCAUAGUCUGGGAUAAAAUUUCAGGUCUAAUUGCAGGUACCUUGAUUGCUAAAGUAAGGGUCACAAAUCUGAAACUAGAAAAAGUGAGACAGCAAGGGUGCCCCCAAGGUUACAAUGAGAAAAAAUAAGAGCGCAAUUCAUCUAGGAAAAAAGGCAGAUGCCUAUGGGUGAAACUCUCUUUGUCUGCUUUUAGUUCUUCAUACAAUAGAUGAAAAAGACAUGCUGAUGUUUUUGCGUUUACUACUUUCCUCACAUAAAAGACACGCACUCCCCAGGGGAAUAUUUUUGACUCCACAUCAGGAAAGAUACAGAUUAUCCAAAAAAAAUAAACAGCUCUCUUCUAUCAGUUAUACGGAAUCAUAUACUCCAGAAAAUUGAAACCCAGCUUUUCACCUUCAAGAAUCCGUCAAGAGCUGGCACCGUAAACAACCGACUUCUAUUACCAGUUCUAUGCCAAGGAUCACCAAAAAGAUAUCUGGUUGAAUUGACUUAUUUUAGAAGGCCAAACCAACAACUAAGAAUUUCUCCCCGGCAAUUAAUAAAUAUAAAACCUCGACUCUAAGCCGCAACUCUACUUCUGACUUAGAGGCAUUCCCCAGGCCCGCAAGAUAAACUAUCAUGUCUGUCAUUGGUCUUUGCCCAUACAGAAUGCAUGUCUAAAGGGAUAGAUUAACUCCUUGUGAAAAUGACUGAUUCAUGACCUAGUAGGAAGAAAAAGUUCUAGCAAUGGCACUAGUUCUAAAUAAUUUUCAGCAAAAAAUUACACUAUAAAAUGCUAAAUUUAACAAACACUCCAGGCCCUUAGCCCAAGUAGGUAAAAACCACAAAUAAUACAAGCUUAUCACUAACAUGAAACAAAUAUAAGCAAGGUUCUAAACUGCAGCAAACAGCUAGUCAACUACUUCGCAAGAUAUAAAGUGAAAGAAAUGAGAUGGAUCAGUCAAAACCCUGAUUCAUGGACUCAAAAGACCAUCUCAUAGACUUUUAAAGAGGUUGAUCAUACAUCUUCCAUACCAACAAAUAAAGUUCAUUCAGAAAUAGAAACAGAAGAAAAUGAAAAAUAGGAUGGGAUAUGAAUAUCAACUAACUUAACCCCACUCCCAGCUCGCACGCCUUUAAAAAGCAAAACAGUACAUAACUGCCCCUUAUAUCCUUUGACUUUGGCACAAGUGACAAUGUUUAUUACAAUCAGUAGGUUAAUGAUCUGAAGUAGGCAAACAGAAAAUUGAUGGAAUGACUUUCUGUAAGUCUUUAGUUGAGUUAUUAUUUUCCUGGCGUUGUACCAACAAGAUAUUCUCGUAUAUGGUUUAAAUGCAAAGACAGCAGGGUGCUAGACCCUUCAGAUUUCUCAAUGACUUUAUCAUACUUUCUUUGAUCACAGUACUGCAGGGGGGAUUCGUACCAAAUUUUCAUUGAUUUUAAAUCUCUUCUGCUUUAAGCGAUGCAACUCUGUUCUUAACAAUAGAAGAUUUGUACUUUGUUAUGUUAGGAAAAACCAAUCUCAUUAAUAUAAAAGAGCUCAUAGCAUAUAAUAGGAGAUAACACUAAGUUUUAUCAAAGUGGCAUGUACUAGAAAUACUAAUUUAACGUAAUAAAGAAAAAGGUAACUUUGAUUUCAAAUAUUUAUGAAUAGCAAAGCAGCAGGAAGAAAUCAAAGUAGUUAUUCAAUCUUUACUAGUAGUAGUUUAGGUGACAAAAUGAAGAGAUUUACAGUGAUCUUAAGGUUACAAAAGCUUGAGUUCGUCAACAAAACCAAUCAUAAAUACAAAUUGUCACUAACCUUAACAAAAACAGAAACACACAUUGUCACUAGAGCAAAUAGAAAAAAUUAGAGCUGAUAAAUUUACCUGCCGGUCUUGGUCUGGAUUGGCCAAGCAGUAUCAUCAUAUCCUUGUGAGAGAACUUUGUGUAGUUGAAUCCUAUAAUUAGCAAAUUCAACAAAUAUUAGUACUCUACUCUCUGUGAAACAAACAUUAAACAAGUUGAGAAAAUUACUUUCCGCUCCCUAUAAAAUCGUCAUAGGAAAUGGUAUUGCUAUUCCAAACCACAACAUUAAUCUCUCUCAACCCUUCAAUGAGCGUAAACACGAAUUUCUCUUGAAAUGUAGGGUUUUUCCCACCAUCUACAAAUUAAUUCCAGAACAAAUCAAUAACAAAAGGAGUAAACUUUCACAAAUUACAAUACAAAAGAACAAACAAUUACAAGGUAUAAUUAAAAAAAAAAUACGAACCUGUGCAAGUACGAGUACGAAAUUUGGUACUACCAUAUUCAAGACAAACAUAAGGAUCUUGCCUUGAUAUCCAUUCUGUGUCCUUCAAUUUGUUGCAUGAAACCACUGCAAAAUUAAUUUCAAAUUCCGAACCAAAUCAAUUAAUCAAAAAUCAAAAUAAGGGUAAUUCUCUUUUAUCAUAAAGAGAAGGAGAAAGUCAUGAAACUUUUCAUACCCGUAACUUCUAGAAGUUGGCCUUGGAUGCCAGAUAUCAUCGACAUGGAAGAAUGCAGAUUUUAAUUAUCACUAUUUUGAAUUUAGCCAAUCAGAAAAAAUGACGAAUUUCUUUAUCAUAGGUAUAAACAGGAAAGUAAUAGAGAAGGUCAGAAGGAAAAUGUCCAAAACCAAUUAAAAUUAAAAAUUGAGAAGAAACGGGUUGAAAAUGACAGGGAACUAUAAGUAACGGGAAAAUGGAAAAUUUGGAGGGUUUGAUCUUUACUGCUGCUAUUGACAGAAGUUAAUGCCCCUACGCUACGUAUAUAUAGACUUUCUGCAGUGGAUUUAAGGCGGCGGAGACUGGCGGGUGGCGGUGGCGGUUUCGUCGUCGAUGACAAAACACGGCCAAAGGAAACAGAAAAGCGUGUACAGUUCGUUUGUCUAUCCGCGUG